UACAGAGGUCUCAAGCGUUGUUCGGAUUCAUUGGGCGUAAAGGGUGCGUAGGUGGCGGGGUAAGUCAGGUGUGAAAUCUAGGGGCUCAACUCCGAAACUGCACUUGAUACUGCCUUGCUCGAGUACUGGAGAGGAGAUUGGAAUUUACGGUGUAGCAGUGAAAUGCGUAGAUAUCGUAAGGAAGACCAGUGGCGAAGGCGAAUCUCUGGACAGUUACUGACACUGAGGCACGAAGGCCAGGGGAGCAAACAGG
rnacentral:rRNA from 1 species